UGUAGAUUGCCUUGGAACUGCUUGGUUGC
rnacentral:piRNA from 1 species